GCGUCAUUUACACCCUCAAGCUCUGCUUGGUGUUGGGCGUCUGUCCCGCUUCGUGCGCGGACUCGCCCCAAACGUAUUGGCAGCGGUCUUUGCCAGCUUCUCGCGCAGCACAUUGCGUUUCUCGAGGCUUUGGCGGAUCGGCGUCCAUCAAGAUUCCACAGUUUGACCUCGGAUCAGGUAGGGAUACCCGCUGAACUUAA
rnacentral:misc_RNA from 1 species